rnacentral:rRNA from 1 species
AUUGAACGCUGGCGGCAGGCCUAACACAUGCAAGUCGAACGAGUGGCGGACGGGUGAGUAAUGUCUGGGAAACUGCCUGAUGGAGGGGGAUAACUACUGGAAACGGUUGCUAAUACCGCAUACCAUCGAAUGUACCCAGAUGGGAUUAGCUAGUAGGUGGGGUAAUGGCUCACCUAGGCGACGAUCCCUAGCUGGUCUGGGAGGAUGACCAGCCACAGUGGAACUGAGACACGGUCCCGACUCCUACGGGAGGCAGCAGUGGGGAAUAUUGCACAAGGGGCGAAAGCCUGAUGCAGCCAUGCCGCGUGUGUGAAGAAGGCCUUCGGGUUGUAAAGCACUUUCAGCGAGGAGGCGUUACCCGCAGAAUAAGCACCGGCUAACUCCGUGCCAGCAGCCGCGGUAAUUC